GGGUAAACAAUCUGUGCGUGGAAUGGGGAGUGGUGAAUGUGCAAGUUCGAUGAUAGGCGCUGAUGUCGUCGAUUUUUAUUUAUACUUUUAUCCUUAUUAUACAUUCUGAUCAUUUUUUAUGUUCAGGAGUUUUCUCUGUUGAUUUAGCAUCAAAAACGGUGUGUUUACAAUCUGUGCGUGGAAUGGGGAGUGGUGAAUGUGCAAGUUCGAUGAUAGGCGCUGAUGUCGUCGAUUUUUAUUUAUACUUUUAUCCUUAUUAUACAUUCUGAUCAUUUUUUAUGUUCAGGAGUUUUCUCUGUUGAUUUAGCAUCAAAAACGGUGUGUUUAACUGUUAUUGCCAAGUGCCAUAUUUAUAUUGAAAUUGGGGUACAAUUCAACAUUCACUGGUUUUUCUAUGGCCUGUUGUGCAUCAUAUUAUUGGAAUGGUAAUGUGAAUAUACGUACUCCAUACACUGCUACUUUUGGGUAUAUAUAAAUGUUUGACCUGAUUUUACUUCACUUCACCUUAUGUUUUUUUGCAGGAACAGUUAUCACACCAUUAUUGUGCAAAAAAUAAGGGUGGUUUAACGCGGUACUCUGCCAGCCACUUUUGGCUUCCAUAGAUAUCAACAAGCCUAUACCUCCAACACUACCAGAGGUUGACGCUAUCUCCACGGAAUGCGCUGGCAGCUGCUGGCAGCGCGCCCAUGAAACACAGCCAGGGGUUUCCUCUGUAAAGUCAUUGUUGUCUAGGUACAUGGGCCUUUACCAAUUGUUAACAGCUACAAAAAUUGGAAUUAAAAAUGUUCAGGUAUUUUGAGCAUCAGCUAAACAGGGAAGAGAAUUCGGCUACAGCCCAUCUUGCAACGCCUCAAUGAAAUUUAACGAGAAACUUAAAUUGAAGGAGCAGCUAAUUAACUGAGGCAAAGCCCAUAAAUCCUUGUGGAUUUACCUACAUACCUAAGGUAAAUCCACAAGGCACCUUGAGUUCAAACUAUGAAGUGACUCCAAGCGAAAUAUAGCAGAAAUUGGGACUUAAAGGAGCUUAGAAAUAAUCUGCUUAGUUCAUUUGAAAUGUAUUGUUACCCACUUUCUAACCAUGCAUAUUUUUGUGUCUUGUGAGGUCUCAUAUAGCAAUAAAAAUAGAAAAGUUAUACAAGAGCAGUGACAUGCAUAGUUUGCUUGUGUUGUCACAACUUUGUACAAUAUUUCCAGCUGUAUAAUAUGCAGUUAUCAGUCACAUUGGGCAUCACACAUGUAUUUUUUUCCUGCAGGAGGGAAGACACAGGAGGGAACAGUAUAUAUAACUAGUGACUCAUGUUUUUGCUUCUAUCGCUUCACCCCUGGGGAAUCAGUUCCUGUACACCCCUUGAAUAUAAUGGUCACCAAGGGGUGCUGUCCUGACAUGUUCACUUUCUGUUGAGAAGGUUAGAACAAACACCAUGUGUGUCAUUUAGUUGCAUAUAUAAUACUUCAAUGUUAAGUAUGCAUAAAGUCUGAAGUCUGUAGCCACUCUUAAUCCUAGGUUGUCGUGACGUUAAUUUAGCCUGGGUGGAUAUUUUGCUGUGCUAAAAGCACGGACUCCGCUACGCCCCAGUACGGCGGCUGGGGCGCCUCCCCUGGAAGAAAACGGCGCCGGGGAGGGGGACGGACACUGUUACACUUGCGGUUUUUUGUGUGAGGUAGCGUAUAGUGUAUACCCUUCUUACAAGUAUUUAUUAUGGACAAUGCAUGCGGGUGACCUCCACUGCACGUGACACGUGUAAAACGGAGAGGUGUCACUUUUGUUGUAAUGACAAUAGCACAGUACAACUUGAUUGUUAUGACAAUAACUACAUUAUAAAAAGGAUGUAGGCACCCACUGGGCAAUGUGUUUAAAUGUGUCACGGUUGGGGUGCAACUGCCAACUGCACGUGCACAUGUGCAAGGUGACGCUUCCAGAUCUCAAGAACGGCUGGGCCGAUUGUGCUCAGAUUUGGCACAUCGCUAGAGACCGGUUAGUAGGGUGCCGUGCGCAAGUGGGAACUGAGAAUGUCUAAAAUAGAGAUGUUGGAGCUGGAAGGAAAUGCAAUCAAACUGUCAAUCAUACAGUGAUACUGUUUUUUUUUUUACAGGAGACAGAUUGAAGUGCAGCCAACACUGCAUGGUGCUUCUCGCAAGAGCUGACCCAUUGCUGUUUUUCAACUCUUCUGGAAAAGAUCCCGAAAGAAGAUAACUGCUUGUUUUCUUCACCGCCACCAGUCUACCUGCUCUCUGCACACUCGGCAGAGCGCGGCAGGGCACCCCACGGAGCUGCACUAGUCACAUCCGGGCCCCACGCCGGUCGACGGCCGAUGCGAUGGAGGCACUACUCCGAGCUGGACUGGUGGCCGGCUCGGAGCUGGUGGAUGUCGACCGCGGAGCGGCGAUCUACUCCUUCCACCGGGCCCGGCAGCAGGAGCUCCAGAUGUCCUUGUGCCACCCGUCCGGCCAGGCCUCCAUCCACCUUGUAGAGGCGGAGCGGGAGACGGUGAAGCUCACGGCUCCGUUGGAACAUGGCCGCUGGGAGGCCUGCGGCGCGGACGACGGAUGCGGCAGUUGGUCAAGACACGGCAGCCUACUCGAGGUGCUUCUCGCCUGGAGGACGCAGGCGAAUCGCGUUAUCCGAGCUGUGCCUCGUCAUGGUGCGAUGAGCCUUAAUAGACUAAUGCAUAUUCUUCCUUUGGUUGUAAUUCAUUUGCUGCUGCCCGCUGGGCUAAGGAGUAACUCUGGGCGCCUACUUUGGGCAGACGCUGGUCCAGUGCCGCCUUUCGUUUGCCGCACUUAUCUUUAUUUAUUCUUUGUUACAAUUCCGUCUUUGGUCAUUUUUUUUUUUACCAUGGGGGGCACUUGAAAGUUUUGUUUUUAAAUCUGUGGACAUUGAACCUGGAAUCGGUUUUUUGUCGGAUUUCGGUUUUGUUUUUGCACUGUGGAAAUAUCUCGUUCAAUAUUUUUUUUAAGAUAGGGCGUGCUAAAACUUUUAGUCUCAUUACUCCUCUGUGCAUCUAAAUUCUAAAGUAAUAUAAUGUGCAUCUCAAGUGUUUGGUGCUGUACUGUUAUUAUUUAUGGUUAAUCCAGUGCUGUACUGUUAUUAUUUAUGGUUAAUCCAGUGCUGAUUUAUGGUUAAUCCAGUUUUUAUUCGAUUGAAUCGUUGUGUGUAAUGUGCAUGACAUCCGCGUACCGCCUGUAGCAGUGUUAUAUAUUUUCAUUUAUGCUGGAAAAUAAUAACUUUCUUGUUCA